rnacentral:rRNA from 1 species
UACAGAGGUCCCAAGCGUUGUUCGGAUUCAUUGGGCGUAAAGGGUGCGUAGGCGGUGGGGUAAGUUGGAUGUGAAAUCUUGGGGCUUAACCUCAAAAUUGCAUUCAAUACCGCUCCGCUCGAGUUCUGUAGAGGAGAUUGGAAUUUACGGUGUAGCAGUGAAAUGCGUAGAUAUCGUAAGGAACGCCCGUGGCGAAAGCGAAUCUCUGGGCAGCAACUGACGCUGAGGCACGAAGGCCAGGGGAGCAAACGGG